rnacentral:rRNA from 1 species
UAGAGUUUGAUCCUGGCUCAGGAUGCUUGCUAGCGACAGGCUUAACACAUGCAAGUCGAGGGGCAGCGGGGUAGGAAGCUUGCUUUCUGCCGCCGGCGACCGGCGCACGGGUGAGUAACACGUAUGCAACCUGGCCGUGACAGAUGGAUAACCGGGAGAAAUCCCGCCUAAUACAACAUAAUGCCGGGAGGGGACAUCCCCUGCCGGCCAAAGGGGGCGACCCCGGUCACGGAUGGGCAUGCGGCGCAUUAGGUAGUUGGUGGGGCAACGGCCCACCAAGCCGACGAUGCGUAGGGGUUCUGAGAGGAAGGUCCCCCACCUUGGAACUGAGACACGGUCCAAACUCCUACGGGAGGCAGCAGUGAGGAAUAUUGGUCAAUGGCCGGAAGGCUGAACCAGCCAAGUCGCGUGAGGGAAUAAGGCCCUACGGGUCGUAAACCUCUUUUGCCAGGGAGCAAUGCCGUCCACGUGUGGACGGAAGGAGAGUACCUGGAGAAAAAGCAUCGGCUAACUCCGUGCCAGCAGCCGCGGUAAUACGGAGGAUGCGAGCGUUAUCCGGAUUUAUUGGGUUUAAAGGGAGCGUAGGCCGGCGCUUAAGCGUGCCGUGAAAUGUCCCGGCUCAACCGGGGCACUGGCGGCGCGAACUGGGUGCCUUGAGUGCGCGGAACGUAUGCGGAAUUCGUGGUGUAGCGGUGAAAUGCUUAGAUAUCACGAAGAACUCCGAUUGCGAAGGCAGCAUACGGCAGCGUAACUGACGCUGAAGCUCGAAGGUGCGGGUAUCGAACAGGAUUAGAUACCCUGGUAGUCCGCACGGUAAACGAUGGAUGCCCGCUGUUGGCGAUAUAUUGUCAGCGGCCAAGCGAAAGCGUUAAGCAUCCCACCUGGGGAGUACGCCGGCAACGGUGAAACUCAAAGGAAUUGACGGGGGCCCGCACAAGCGGAGGAACAUGUGGUUUAAUUCGAUGAUACGCGAGGAACCUUACCCGGGCUCGAACUGCAGGUGAACGAUUCAGAGAUGAUGAGGUCCUUCGGGACACCUGUGGAGGUGCUGCAUGGUUGUCGUCAGCUCGUGCCGUGAGGUGUCGGCUUAAGUGCCAUAACGAGCGCAACCCCUGUUCUCAGUUGCCAUCGGGUCAUGCCGGGCACUCUGUGAAGACUGCCUCCGUAAGGAGUGAGGAGGGUGGGGAUGACGUCAAAUCAGCACGGCCCUUACGUCCGGGGCUACACACGUGUUACAAUGGGUGAUACAGAGAGUCGGCGGCCGGCAACGUCCGUCUAAUCUAUAAAGUCAUCCUCAGUUCGGACUGGGGUCUGCAACCCGACCCCACGAAGCUGGAUUCGCUAGUAAUCGCGCAUCAGCCAUGGCGCGGUGAAUACGUUCCCGGGCCUUGCACACACC